rnacentral:rRNA from 1 species
UGUGACAUACCACUUGUUGCCUCGGCGGAUCAGCCCGCUCCCGGUAAAACGGGACGGCCCGCCAGAGGACCCCUAAACUCUGUUUCUAUAUGUAACUUCUGAGUAAAACCAUAAAUAAAUCAAAACUUUCAACAACGGAUCUCUUGGUUCUGGCAUCGAUGAAGAACGCAGCAAAAUGCGAUAAGUAAUGUGAAUUGCAGAAUUCAGUGAAUCAUCGAAUCUUUGAACGCACAUUGCGCCCGCCAGUAUUCUGGCGGGCAUGCCUGUUCGAGCGUCAUUUCAACCCUCAAGCACAGCUUGGUGUUGGGACUCGCGUUAAUUCGCGUUCCCCAAAUUGAUUGGCGGUCACGUCGAGCUUCCAUAGCGUAGUAGUAAAACCCUCGUUACUGGUAAUCGUCGCGGCCACGCCGUUAAACCCCAACUUCUGAAUGUUGACCUCGGAUCAGGUAGGAAUACCCGCUGAACUUAAGCAUAUCAUA